CAACUCUGGUUUUCCUUCAAUCCGCGUAUAAAUCUUUCGCCUUUUACUAAAGAUUUCCGUGGAGGAGAACAACAGAAUGAGUCUAUAGACUAAUUUUUCUUCACCCUGCUGUCCCUCACGGCAGGGUA